rnacentral:rRNA from 1 species
CCCUUAGAUGUUCUGGGCCGCACGCGCGCUACACUGAUGAAUUCAACGAGCACUAACCUGUGCAGAAAUGUUCGGGUAAUCUUGUGAGAUUUCAUCGUGAUGGGGAUUGAUUAUUGCAAUUAUUAAUCAUAAACGAGGAAUGCCUAGUAAGCGUGAGUCAUCAGCUCACGUUGAUUACGUCCCUGCCCUUUGUACACACCGCCCGUCGCUCCUACCGAUUGAAUGUGCUGGUGAAAAGUUCGGAUUGGGAAUAGGAGACGGCAACGUAUCCUGUUUCUGAGAAAAUCUUUAAACCCUCCCAUUUAGAGGAAGGAGAAGUCGUAACA